GGAUGUGAGGGCGAUCUGGCUGCAACAUCUGUCACCCCAUUGAUCACCAGGGUUGAUUUGGCUGAUCUGGUUGGCAAGGCAGGUGCCCCCUCCUCCUGCAAUGCUCCAUGUGCAUCUCUCCUGAAGCUGUGUGCUUGGUCAAAGAGGAUGACCACCCCCGAUAGAGGAGGACCGUUCCUGGGUCAGGGGUGUACGGGUAGCUGCACUCCCCUGCUAGAACCUCCAAACAAGCUUUCAAAAUUAACCUGGAUGCAGACACAUCCUUCCCCCAACUUAGUU
rnacentral:snRNA from 1 species